UACGUAGGUGGCAAGCGUUGUCCGGAAUUAUUGGGCGUAAAGCGCGCGCAGGCGGUUUCUUAAGUCUGAUGUGAAAGCCCACGGCUCAACCGUGGAGGGUCAUUGGAAACUGGGAGACUUGAGUGCAGAAGAGAAGAGCGGAAUUCCACGUGUAGCGGUGAAAUGCGUAGAGAUGUGGAGGAACACCAGUGGCGAAGGCGACUCUUUGGCCUGUAACUGACGCUGAGGCGCGAAAGCGUGGGGAGCAAACAGG
rnacentral:rRNA from 1 species